AUGAAUCACAGAACAGUGCUAGCAAAAAUCAGAAGGAGCUUAAAAAAACAAUCCAAAAAAGGUAAAUUGAAGAGUGAAGAAGCAACUCAUAGUGAACAGUCCCCAAAGGAAGCACAGUGGAAGGAGCUUACUCAGUAUUUUGGAGUCAAUGACCGAUUUGACCCCCCUGUGAAAAAGAAAAAGGUUGACAAGUCGGGUCUUGAAAAGAGAAUAGACCAGGCUGUGGACGAGUGGAAUAUUGAGAAGGCCGAGGAGCUCAGCAACCAGCUCGCUACUCGAGAGCUUGGUGUGAAGAUUGCCAAAGCUAUUGCCUGCCACAACUUUGUAAAAGCCAAAAAGGAUGCUGAAAAUUCACAGGUUGUUCGAAGAAGAAGAAACUUGCAUGGGGAUUUGAAGCAAAGAAGAGAUGGGAAACCAAAAGCAACAUGGGCUACAUGUAA